rnacentral:misc_RNA from 1 species
GAAAUGCGAUAACUAGUGUGAAUUGCAGAAUUCCGUGAAUCAUCGAGUCUUUGAACGCACAUUGCGCCCCCUGGUAUUCCGGGGGGCAUGCCUGUCCGAGCGUCAUUGCUGCCCAUCAAGCACGGCUUGUGUGUUGGGUCGUCGUCCCCUCUCCGGGGGGGACGGGCCCCAAAGGCAGCGGCGGCACCGCGUCCGAUCCUCGAGCGUAUGGGGCUUUGUCACCCACUCUGUAGGCCCGGCCGGCGCUUGCCGAACGCAAAUCAAUCUUUUUCCAGGUUGACCUCGGAUCAGGUAGGGAUACCCGCUGAACUUAAGC